GGGUAGCGGCUUAACUGCAGGUAGUGCCUAUCAUUUAGCCUGUCUUCAACGGCAGCCUUUAUGCCUGGUUCUGCUUAGGAAAGUCCGCCCACCGCACAAAAGGUGACCAUUGAACUGGAGCGCAAGCUUUAGGAGAUGGCUGGCGAAAGCUAGGGCUACGGCUCAGAAACGAUACCACCAACAGAAUGGGAUGAUGGUCUGAAGCAGCUUGGCAACAAGUUGCGAUUAACAACCUGACGUCUCUGUUGGAAAGGGUGAAACGGCAAGACCUCACUGGUGCAAGUCCAUUAGCGACGCUCAGUAGAAUGUUAAGCACAGCCUGCCCAUGAGUUAAGUUUCGUGGAGGCUGACAGAAGGCGGCUUACAGCUACUC
rnacentral:RNase_P_RNA from 1 species